UACGUAGGGGGCGAGCGUUUGUCCGGAAUUAUUGGGCGUAAAGAGCGUGUAGGCUGUUCGGUAAGUCUGCCGUGAAAACCCUGAGGCUCAACCUCGGGCGUGCGGUGGAUACUGUCGGGCUAGAGGACGGUAGAGGCGAGUGGAAUUCCUGGUGUAGCGGUGAAAUGCGCAGAUAUCAGGAGGAACACCGAUGGCGAAGGCAGUGUUCUGGGCCAGUACUGACGCUGAGGAGCGAAAGCGUGGGUAGCAAACAGG
rnacentral:rRNA from 1 species